rnacentral:rRNA from 1 species
UCGGAAUAUUGCGGCAAUGGAGGAACUCUGACGCAGUGACGCCGCGUGCAGGAAGAAGGUUUUCGGAUUGUAAACUGCUUUAGACAGGGAAGAGAAAGGACAGUACCUGUAGAAUAAGCUCCGGCUAACUACGUGCCAGCAGCCGCGGUAAUACGUAGGGAGCGAGCGUUAUCCGGAUUUAUUGGGUGUAAAGGGUGCGUAGACGGGAAUACAAGUUAGUUGUGAAAUACCUCGGCUUAACUGAGGAACUGCAACUAAACUAUAUUCUUGAGUACAGGAGAGGUAAGUGGAAUUCCUAGUGUAGCGGUGAAAUGCGUAGAUAUUAGGAGGAACACCAGUGGCGAAGGCGACUUACUGGACUGAAACUGACGUUGAGGCACGAAAGUGUGGGGAGCAAACAGGAUUAGAUACCCUGGGUAGU